rnacentral:rRNA from 1 species
CCGCCCGUCGCUCCUACCGAUUGAAUGAUCCGGUGAAGUGUUCGGAUCGCGGCGACGUGGGUGGUUCGCCGUCUGCGACGUCGCGAGAAGUCCACUAAACCUUAUCAUUUAGAGGAAGGAGAAGUCGUAACAAGGUUUCCGUAGGUGAACCUGCGGAAGGAUCAUUGUCGAUACCUAUCCAACAAAGAACGACCGCGAACAAACGAUCAUCACUUGCGGUGGGCCGGUUUCUUAUUUGAUCCCGUGCCUGCCGACUCCGUGGUUACGCUUGUUGUCCUCUUCAAGAUYUUUAUCUUGGUUUGGCCCUAAGCGUAUCUUCCGGAUAUCACAAAACCCCGGCACGAAAAGUGUCAAGGAACAUGCAACUUAACAGCUAGCAUUCGCCGCUCCGGAGACGGUGUGUGUGCGGAUGCAUUGCUGCAAUAUUAAAGUCUAAAACGACUCUCGGCAACGGAUAUCUCGGCUCUCGCAUCGAUGAAGAACGUAGCGAAAUGCGAUACUUGGUGUGAAUUGCAGAAUCCCGUGAACCAUCGAGUCUUUGAACGCAAGUUGCGCCCCAAGCCUUUUGGCCGAGGGCACGUCUGCCUGGGUGUCACUAAUCGUCGUCCCCCAUCCUUUUUGGAUUUGGGACGGAAACUGGUGUCCCGUGUGUUACCGCACCCGGUUUGCCAAAAUCCGAGCAAAGGACGUGAGGAGCGUCUCGACAUGCGGUGGUGAAAUUAAGCCUCGUCUUAUUGUCGUUCGUUCCUGUCCGGAUGCUUCAGAUGACCC